ACAUGGAAACCACAUCAUUCAACAAUGUUUUGGGGAAUGAAGAUGCUCACUGCAAUGAAGAUACAUUUCCCAGCUCUGGCACAGUUUGUGAACCAGAUGUUUCCCUUCACAUUGGAAAUUCACUAGUCAGAUGUACAUUGGAUAAGGAACCAGAUGUGAGUGUACAG